GACGAACGCUGGCGGCGUGCCUAAUACAUGCAAGUCGAGCGAAUCGAUGGGAGCUUGCUCCCUGAGAUUAGCGGCGGACGGGUGAGUAACACGUGGGUAACCUGCCUAUAAGACUGGGAUAACUUCGGGAAACCGGAGCUAAUACCGGAUACGUUCUUUUCUCGCAUGAGAGAAGAUGGAAAGACGGUUUACGCUGUCACUUAUAGAUGGGCCCGCGGCGCAUUGGCUAGUUGGUGAGGUAAUGGCUCACCAAGGCGACGAUGCGUAGCCGACCUGAGAGGGUGAUCGGCCACAAUGGGACGGAGACACGGCCCAGACUCCUACAGGAGGCAGCAGUAGGGAAUCUUCCGCAAUGGACGAAAGUCUGACGGAGCAACGCCGCGUGAACGAAGAAGGACUUCGGGUCGUAAAGUUCUGUUGUUAGGGAAGAGCAAGUACCAGAGUAACUGCUGGUACCUUGACGGUACCUAACCAGAAAGCCACGGCUAACUACGUGCCAGCCGCCGCAGUAAAAC
rnacentral:rRNA from 1 species